AUGCAUUAACAGGUGACGCGUUACAUUCUUUUGAGCAUAAGCACAUUGUCAGAGCAUGUGCUUUUUCUGAGGUAGAAUUGAUGCCCGUGUUUCUGUCACAGUUUGCAUGACUGAUAUUUGUUGGUAUUCAUUUUGGUUGAUGGAAUAACGUUCCUAAUUACAAAAACACAAUAUGGUCCUUCCCAUAAAUAGAAAAUAAAUACCAUUAAAGUGUGCAUACCUAGAAUUUUCCUCCAAGUGAUUAUAGUAUUUUCAUGUUACCGAUAGUUGAUUUCAUCUAUGGAUCUACUUUUUUACCAAUAGCUGAAUUCAUCUAUGGAUUUACUUUUUUAUGUUCAUGAAUGUCAGAUAGUUUUGUACUGUAGUUGUCACUUUGGCUUCUUAUUUUAUUUUUUAAUACUUUAAUCUUGAUUCUUUGAGCAAGGACUUUGAGUGUAUGGGAUCUCUUUUGAAGUUCUCGUUGCAAUUUUCAAUUUCAUCUCUACUUUGCUUUCUCUAUUAAAUUGUAUCUGCAAGCUUUUAAUUAUGAGCUAUUUUAAUUACAAAAUAAGCUAAUCCUGGCAUAGAUUAAGUGAUAAUAUAUAAAAUAUAUUCUGUUAAAAUUUGGAUAACUUGCUAAUGCCUUGUUCUUUAUCUGAGGAUACCCACCUUUGUUCAUAUGAAUUGAUUGAUGUUUGUAUAUAUCUGGGAGCAGGAUACCCACCUUUUGCUCACUGGGGGAGCAGAGAAAAUUCUCCGAAUUUAUGAUUUGAAUCGGCCUGAUGCACCUCCUAAAGAAGUGGAUAAAUCCCCUGGUUCAGUCAGGAGUGUUGCAUGGCUUCAUAGCGACCAGACUAUAUUGAGUUCAUGUACUGAUAUGGGAGGCGUCAGGUAUAACUUACUUGACCAUACUAUGUCGAUAGUUGUCCGUUGUCGUUUUUGUAUAUGAGCUUGCUUGUUUUUACUUCUAAACUUUGGUAUAAACAUGAAGCUUGAAUCCUCUAUUGCACUGAAUCUUGUUGAUAAUUCACAGGCUAUGGGAUGUAAGAACUGGUAAAAUUGUCCAGACACUUGACACCAAGUCGCCUAUGACUAGUGCUGAAGUGAGUCAGGAUGGUC
rnacentral:lncRNA from 1 species